rnacentral:rRNA from 1 species
ACGGAAGGCAGCAGUGGGGAAUAUUGGGCAAUGGGCGAAAGCCUGACCCAGCAACGCCGCGUGAGGGAAGAAGGGUUUCGGCUCGUAAACCUCUGUCCUAUGGGACGAAGCAAUGACGGUACCAUAGGAGGAAGCUCCGGCUAACUACGUGCCAGCAGCCGCGGUAAUACGUAGGGAGCAAGCGUUAUCCGGAAUUACUGGGUGUAAAGGGAGUGUAGGCGGGACUGUAAGUCAGAUGUGAAAUAUGCCGGCUCAACUGGCAGACUGCAUUUGAAACUGCGGUUCUUGAGUGAAGUAGAGGUAAGCGGAAUUCCUAGUGUAGCGGUGAAAUGCGUAGAUAUUAGGAGGAACAUCAGUGGCGAAGGCGGCUUACUGGGCUUUAACUGACGCUGAGGCUCGAAAGCGUGGGGAGCAAACAGGAUUAGAUACCCUGGUA